AAUCAAGCGCGAAAAGGGCGUUUGGUGAAUGCCUUGGCAGUAAGAGGCGAUGAAGGACGUGAUACUCUGCGAUAAGUCAUGGGGAGCUGAGAAUAAGCUUUGAUCCAUGAAUUUCCGAAUGGGGCAACCCACCUGAUACUGUGUUAUUACUACUCUUCGGAGUGGCUAAUAAUGCGGUAAAACAGGUACUUAUAGACUGAAUACAUAGGUUUAUAAGAGCAAACCCGGAGAACUGAAACAUCUAAGUACCCGGAGGAAAGGACAUCAAUUGAUACUCCCCUAGUAGCGGCGAGCGAACGGGGACCAGCCGAGCCAUGAAUGUGAAUAGAACGUGUUGGGAAGCACGGCCAUAGUGGGUGAUAGCCCCGUAUAUGAAGCAUGAUUGGACGUAUUAAGUAGGGCGGAACACGUGAAAUUCUGUCUGAAGAUCGGAGGACCACCUUCGAAGGCUAAGUACUCCUUACUGACCGAUAGUGAACCAGUACCGUGAGGGAAAGGUGAAAAGCACCCCGACGAGGGGAGUGAAACAGUACCUGAAACCGAACGCCUACAAUCAGUCGGAGCUUGACUGGACUCUAAUGACAAUCUGUUCCAUCUAGUUGUUAACAAGCAAUUAGAGGAAGAUGAGUAUGUCGGAUUUAGCAUUCAUUACGGACGGAGCAGUCGGUGUACUGUUCCUGGUCGCUGGCCUCAUCGAUGCCGGCGUUAACCAUUGUCCGAAUGAAGGUUGUCUCGCAAAAAAUGAAGUUCAAGCCUACAACAGUCUAUCUGUUGGUCAGACAACGUUUCAAAAGAACGUUGUCGGCGAAGAGCUUUACUUUCGGCGGGACACAGGGGUAGCAAACGGUCCAUUUCAAUGGAUUUGGGGUGCCUCUGCAACAAGCGAUGGAGAGCUAUGGGCUGGCGUUGGUCAGGCCGUGACAUUCUCUACGCGAAACGAUCGGUUCUAUACGCAGCUGCACUCAAUGCUCGGCCUUUACGAAAAGGGCGAUGGGGUGGAUCUGGGUGGACCUGUCGAAUUCCGAUCCGGCAUAGAAUUCGGAUAUCAGAAUAAAAUGGGUACUCGCAUGGCGAUCAGCUUUGAUCACCGAUCGAACGCGGGCAUCUAUUCGCUGAACCCCGGACUUGAAACUGUACAGUUUCGGGUCUCUAUCCCAACCAAGUGAUUGUUAUCAGUGUCCAGUCUUGUGACGGCGUACCUUUUGUAUAAUGGGUCAUCGACUUGGUCUAUCUAGCAAGCUUAAGCCGUUAGGUGUAGGCGCAGCGAAAGCGAGUCUUAAUAGGGCGAAUGAGUUAGAUGGAUCAGACCCGAAACCGAGUGAUCUAGGCAUGACCAGGAUGAAGGUAAGGUAACACUUACUGGAGGUCCGAACCCACACCUGUUGAAAAAGGUCGGGAUGAGUUGUGCCUAGGGGUGAAAGGCCAAUCAAACUCGGAGAUAGCUGGUUCUCUGCGAAAACUAUUUAGGUAGUGCGUCAUCCGAAUACCCUCGGGGGUAGAGCACUGGAUGGGUAAUGGGGCCCCACAGGCUUACUGAUCCUAACCAAACUCCGAAUACCGAGAAGUACUAGAUGGCAGACAGACUGCGGAUGCUAACGUCCGUAGUCGAGAGGGAAACAACCCUGACCUACAGCUAAGGCCCCUAAUUCAUGGCUAAGUGGGAAAGCAGGUGGGACGACCAAAACAACCAGGAGGUUGGCUUAGAAGCAGCCAUCCUUUAAAGAUAGCGUAACAGCUCACUGGUCUAAAUAAGUUGUCCUGCGGCGAAGAUGUAACGGGGCUCAAGCCAUGAGCCGAAGCUUAGGAUGCCGUAAGGCAUGGUAGCAGAGCGUAGUGUGACAUAGUUCCAUUCCUCCUUAGCUGGUUUCGACCAGCAUUGGAGGAGAGGAGCUUUCGAUGAAGCGGGCGCGUGAGCGAUCCCGUGGAGAGAUCACUAGUGAGAAUGAUGACAUGAGUAGCGAUAAACAGUGUGAGAGACACUGUCGCCGAAAGUCCAAGGGUUCCUGCUUAAAGCUAAUCUGAGCAGGGUGAGCCGACCCCUAAGGCGAGGCCGAAAGGCGUAGUCGAUGGGAACCAGGUUAAUAUUCCUGGGCCAGAUGGAAGUGACGGAUCGUGAAGGUUGUUCACCCUUAUUGGAUUGGGUGGGCCGCUAAUCGGUUCCUGGAAAUAGCUCCAUCGCUAGAUCGUACCCUAAACCAACACAGGUGGACCGGUAGAGAAUACCAAGGCGCUUGAGAGAACCACAUUUAAGGAACUCGGCAAAAUACCUCCGUAAGUUCGCGAGAAGGAGGCCCGAUUGGGACGCAAGUCUUGGUCGGGGGCACAAACCAGGGGGUGGCGACUGUUUACUAAAAACACAGGGCUCUGCGAAGUCGCAAGACGACGUAUAGGGUCUGACGCCUGCCCGGUGCCUGAAGGUUAAAAGGAGGGGUGAGAGCUCUGAAUUGAAGCCCAGGUAAACGGCGGCCGUAACUAUAACGGUCCUAAGGUAGCGAAAUUCCUUGUCGGGUAAGUUCCGACCUGCACGAAUGGCGUAACGACUUCCCCGCUGUCUCAAAUGUGGACUCAGCGAAAUUGAAUUGCCUGUCAAGAUGCAGGCUUCCCGCGGUUAGACGGAAAGACCCCGUGCACCUUUACUACAGCUUCGCACUGGCAUCAGAAUUGAGAUGUGCAGGAUAGGUGGUAGGCUUUGAAGCAUGAACGCUAGUUUGUGUGGAGCCACCCUUGAGAUACCACUCUUCGCACUUUUGAUGUCUAACCGCGGUCCGUUAUCCGGAUCCGGGACCCUGCGUGGCGGGUAGUUUGACUGGGGCGGUCGCCUCCUAAAGCGUAACGGAGGCGCGCGAAGGUUGGCUCAGAGCGGUCGGAAAUCGCUCGUUGAGUGCAAUGGCAGAAGCCAGCCUGACUGCGAGACUGACAAGUCGAGCAGAGUCGAAAGACGGCCAUAGUGAUCCGGUGGUCCCGAGUGGAAGGGCCAUCGCUCAACGGAUAAAAGGUACGCCGGGGAUAACAGGCUGAUACUGCCCAAGAGUCCAUAUCGACGGCAGUGUUUGGCACCUCGAUGUCGGCUCAUCUCAUCCUGGGGCUGGAGCAGGUCCCAAGGGUACGGCUGUUCGCCGUUUAAAGAGGUACGUGAGCUGGGUUUAGAACGUCGUGAGACAGUUCGGUCCCUAUCUGCCGUGGGUGUAGGAUACUUGAGAGGAGUUGCCCCUAGUACGAGAGGACCGGGGUGAACGUUCCACUGGUGGACCAGUUGUCGUGCCAACGGCAGUGCUGGGUAGCUAUGAACGGACAGGAUAACCGCUGAAGGCAUCUAAGCGGGAAGCCCCCCUCAAAACAAGGUAUCCCUGAGAGCCGUGGUAGACCACCACGUCGAUAGGCUGGAGAUGUAAGUGCAGCAAUGCAUUCAGUUGACCAGUACUAAUUGCUCGAUAGGCUUGAUUUG
rnacentral:rRNA from 1 species